ACUGCACAGGACACCAACAAAACUGAGGUUUACAGAUGAAGUGCAGCUUAUCUGUGAUGUUCUUUUUCCAGAGGCCAUCAUACAUGCUCUGGGGGUCUUGAGGGGUUUGUCUUUAGAUGAUGCUGAGCAGGUCUACCUUUCUGGCACAAAAUAUCAUUACAGGUCAGAAUAUGAUUUAUUUUGACACAAUGCUCAGAGAAACUUUUUGUUACUGAUAUUUACAUUAACCCAUCAGUGCUUGUUCUCUAUUUCAGUGAAGUAGAAUAAUUUAGUCGAAAAAUUGACAAAAAAAUCUAGGAAAGAAGGGAGACCAUUCAAUAGGAGCUAAAGGAAUGCUGCUUUUUGUGCUAUUGUGGCUGUUGUGUGUGGAUGUUUAAAUAAAUGUAC